rnacentral:rRNA from 1 species
AUACGGAGGGUGCAAGCGUUACUCGGAAUCACUGGGCGUAAAGCGCGCGCAGGCGGCUUGAUAAGUUGGAUGUGAAAGCCUACGGCUCAACCGUAGAACUGCAUCCAAAACUGUCAAGCUAGAGUCUGGGAGGGGAAGAUGGAAUUAGUUGUGUAGGGGUAAUAUCCGUAGAGAUAACUAGGAAUACCAAAAGCGAAGGCGAUCUUCUGGAACAGUACUGACGCUGAGGCGCGAAAGCGUGGGGAGCAAACAGGAUUAGAUACCCCAGUAGUCC